rnacentral:pre_miRNA from 1 species
CUAAUACUCCCUCCGUCCGAAAAUACUUUUCAUCAAAAUAAAUAAAAAUGGAUGUAUCUAGAACUAAAAUAUGUCUAGAUACAUCUCUUUUAUCCAUUUUGAUGACAAGUAUUUCCGGACGGAGGAAGUAUAAG